CCCUGCUGCCCCUCUCGGGCAAACGUACCUACCUGUGAAAAGUAUGGUUCAUGAUGGAUUCGCCCAUUCCGUAGGGAUUACGUUGCGAUUGAGACGCUAGUCGUUGUGUUUAACUGUUCAGUGUUUACUGUUAAACGAUAUAUGGCAUAAUCGUCAAUAAUACUGAGUAUUCUAACUAAACGAUUUAAAAUUCAAGUACUUUUCUUUACCUCACAGUAUUCCAGACAAUUCAUUAUGGAAGGCAUUCCGUCAUGUUCACGGUUCACCAUACCAGAGAGUGGAUUUACAAUUUCUUUGAACUGUCCCGUAAGUAGCCUAACUAGAGAAACUUUCUAUGAAACGAUGGCGGAUACUCUAGAAAUUGUGAAAGUUAAAUUUCUUGAUCAUUUGCCUCCUGAUGUGGAAGAGGACAAAAGGAAACAACCUGAAGGUCCCUCACCAAGUCCAAAACCUUCAAAGAAAGCUAAAAAAAUUAUUGUAUAAUUUUCCAGUUCUUGUGAUACUCAUUUCCUGUAUUCGUAUUCUCUUUCUUGUUUUUAUUAACAGUAUGCUAUGCUGUUACUCAUUCAUCAGAAAUAAAUUUACAUUCAUUAGAA